rnacentral:rRNA from 1 species
CGGGACGGGUGAGUAAUGUCUGGGAAACUGCCUGAUGGAGGGGGAUAACUGCUGGAAACGGUAGCUAAUACCGCGUAACGUCGCAAGACCAAAGAGGGGGACCUUCGGGCCUCUUGCCAUCGGAUGUGCCCAGAUGGGAUUAGCUAGUAGGUGGGGUAACGGCUCACCUAGGCGACGAUCCCUAGCUGGUCUGAGAGGAUGACCAGCCACACUGGAACUGAGACACGGUCCAG